rnacentral:rRNA from 1 species
UACAGAGGUGGCAAGCGUUGUUCGGAAUUACUGGGCGUAAAGGGCUCGUAGGCGGCCAACUAAGUCGGACGUGAAAUCCCUCAGCUUAACUGGGGAACUGCGUCCGAUACUGGAUGGCUUGGAUUUGGGAGAGGGAUGCGGAAUUCCAGGUGUAGCGGUGAAAUGCGUAGAUAUCUGGAGGAACACCGGUGGCGAAGGCGGCAUCCUGGACCGACACUGACACUGAGGAGCGAAAGCCAGGGGAGCAAACGGG